GAGUUUGAUCCUGGCUCAGGACGAACGCUGGCGGCGCGCCUAAUACAUGCAAGUCGAACGGACACCCUUCGGGGUGUUAGUGGCGGACGGGUGAGUAACACGUGGGCGACCUGCCUUCGAGUGGGGAAUAACGCUGGGAAACCAGCGCUAAUACCGCAUACGCUCUAUCGUUCAUUCGAUAGAGGAAAGCUUUAUGCGCUCGAAGAGGGGCCUGCGGCGGAUUAGCUAGUCGGUGGGGUAACGGCCUACCGAGGCCACGAUCCGUAGCUGGUCUGAGAGGAUGAUCAGCCACACUGGGACUGAGACACGGCCCAGACUCCUACGGGAGGCAGCAGUAAGGAAUCUUCCGCAAUGGGGGCAACCCUGACGGAGCGACGCCGCGUGGAUGAAGAAGCCUUUCGGGGUGUAAAAAGUCCUUUUCCCAGGGUAGGAGAUGGACCGUACCUGGGGAAGAAGCCACGGCUAACUACGUGACAGCAG
rnacentral:rRNA from 1 species